GGUUAAUUCUAAACUGGCCGUAAUGGACUGUUGUCCUCUCCAGAGCUUAGGCCCUAGCUUUUGAGAGCUCAAACUCCAGCCAAUUUCACUCCAUUCUGUUUCCUAAUUAGGAUUUGAUUUAAGUUGUUAAUUAAACCUGUUAUUUAAUGCCAUGGCCCAUUGCUGCUGUCAUUCUUCCGCAGCACAGAUUUCCAAAACUGUUGUUUUUCUUUUUUUCUAAGAGCACCAUCAAAAUGUUUUGGUGACCUGAGCAGAUCAUCACUACUGAGACCUUCACCUUUCUUUAUUUUGUGACUGAUACAUGUUGCUGGUCAUGUGUUGGCUUAUUUUAUAUCUUAUUAUUGUUUUGCUGCUAAUUUCCUGUUAAUUAGCAGGAAAAAUGGGUCACUAAUUAAGAAAGCGGUUCAAACAAAAACCUGCAGCCACUGCGUCACUCCCCAGUCUGAGUGGGACACCCCUGUCUGUACAGACAAACAGUUGUGACUUUAGUGAUCAACCACCUGAUUAUCUUUAAUGGCCAGAACUUGCAUAUGGUAGAUGAAAUCUUGGUGCAUGGGUCAACAUUGUUACCUCACUAUCAAACUGCCCAUCUGGAAUUUGAACAUUGCCCCGUGGCGAGGCUGUGCAGGUUGAUAGCACUGAAAGAUUUCUUUUCAGAUCCACGCCAGCAAGAGGAGAAAUUAAAGGAAAUUUGAUUUUUAAUGGUCCACAUAAGUCAUCUUAGAUAAAAAAAAUGCGAUGUAAUCAUUAUCUCCCACAUAAAUAAUAUGACUAACAUUGCUUAAAUCAGGCUAUUUCUAUUAAAUUUAGCCAUAUUUUAUCCAUUAUAGUACAUUGAAAUUGAUUUGCGAUUAUGUAUGUAAACAUUGAUUACGUAAUAUUAAUUUGUUGUUUUGUUUUUAAAAUUAUAUGCAAGUGAUCUCAGUUGGUCUUCAGGGAAAAAAGCACUACACAAAAUAAUUGACUUGAAUAAUGCUGCAGUUUGCUUCCCUUCUCUUUUGUUGGCAAGACUUUAGCUUUUGGCAAAUGCUCUACAUCAGCAAUUUAUAAAUUUGUCUUCUGUUGACUUUCAGGGCUGCUUUACCACUUUUGCAUUUGGUUAUAAAGCAGCAGUCUGUUUUAUACACUUGUCUAUAUUCCACCUAUUAACCCUGCUUUGCAGAAUUAUUUAGUGUUGUAGUUUUUUUUUUUUUACAAUAUAUUGCUCACUAAGUAUUCUUUGCCAUAUACUGUGUCUUUUCAAAAUAAUAAAUCCCAGAAUAACUUGUGCAACAUAUUCAAUUUAUCUGAUUAAUAAUCUUUUUAUUUGUGUCAUAUGAGAACAUAAGCUCAAUACUGUAUAUUUUUGAAGAAUCAUUUUAUCCACAAUCUCCCAAAUAAGUUUCUGCUUUAGCUUUUCCAUACAUUGUGUACUGAUUUUCUCUUCAAAGAUAUUCUGAUGAUGAAAAUGCAUCAUGUCAUACAUUUUCAGUAAGUUUAUGUAUGUAGUUCACUAAAAGCCUGAGCAUUAUCUUUCCUUUUGACACAUUUUGUGCUACUUGCUUCAGUUUAAGAUGUUUGCUAGUUAUAUGGUGGUGUAAAAUGUAUUCUGGAAGGUCUUUGUUGGCCAUAAAUGGCACUACCUUUCUGCUACCUGUUCAGAAUGAAAGUGAGAAUUAAGGCAAUGACGCAAGUCUUUUAUAGCAUAUUAUUUUAAAAUUAUGUUUAGUGGUUUAUCUUGAACAUCAAGUAGAUAACCAAAGUGAAAUUGUCAUAAAGAACAUUAAAAUAUAAUAUAAGUGUACAGGAAAAGAAGCGUGUGAGUUUCUGAACACUCGUGCCUGGUUUCUUCAAUCUUUCUUGGCAUAUCAAGCAAUAAAAAAAUAUGACUUAAGAUCCACUAGGCUGUUGCAUUUGCAAUAAUAAGACAAAGACUAAUGAGACAGUGGCUAAAAUAAACUGUGAACAUAAUGAAGCAAAGGUGUAAGAGACAUUUUAUUUAUUAACAGAUAAAACCACUUUGAAAGCCACAUGAAAAACAUGCUUCACACAUCAUUCCAAGGUGGGGGUACAUCCUUUUUCAGCCUUGAAAUCAGAUACCAGCUACUGUUGAAAUUAUUGUAAUACAUACAGUAUAUAAAUAAGAUUAAUA